rnacentral:rRNA from 1 species
AGAUUGAACGCUGGCGGCAUGCCUAACACAUGCAAGUCGAACGGGAGUAGCAAUACUCUAGUGGCGGACGGGUGAGGAAUACGUAGGAAUUUGCCCUUAAGUGGGGGAUAACCCGGGGAAACCCGGAUUAAUACCGCAUGACCUCGAAAGAGCAAAGUGGGGGAUCGCAAGACCUCACGCUUUUGGAGAAGCCUACGUCGGAUUAGCUAGUUGGUGAGGUAAUGGCUCACCAAGGCGACGAUCCGUAACUGGUCUGAGAGGAUGAUCAGUCACACCGGAACUGAGACACGGUCCGGACUCCCUACGGGAGGCAGCAGGUGGGGAAUAGUUGGACAAUGGGGCGAACGUACGCGUAGUACCUACGCCGACUAGCCGCGUGAGUG